GGCAGGAUCGGCCCCAGAGACGGCCGAGGCGCCGCCUGUGAGGGGGGCUCCGGUUCCUCUA
rnacentral:snoRNA from 1 species